GACACAGGAUAUCUUGUGCUUAUGUCCUUGGCUUGUCUACGUAAAUCAACUUAUGAAGACAGUUGUUAAUCUUCUAACAAAUUCCGAAGUCCUUUAUCUGACAAUACACUGAGUCAAAGCAUAC